rnacentral:tRNA from 1 species
CAGGGAGACAACAAAAUGUUAAAUAUUAAUUUUGUCACCUUAGGUCGAUCGGUAUCUCAGGUUCUUAAUUACUUUAAGAAUUUCAUUUCCUAAGUUUUUUCUAGGUCACACCCAUUACUUUCCCUGGGCCAUUAGCUCAGGUGGUUAGAGCGCACCCCUGAUAAGGGUGAGGUCCCUGGUUCAAGUCCAGGAUGGCCCAUAUCUCUAUGUUGGGGGUAUAGCUCAGUUGGUAGAGCGCCUGCUUUGCAAGCAGGAUGUCAGCGGUUCGAGUCCGCUUACCUCCACUGAUUACCACCUCUUCCAUAAAUUUAAAGAAGGGAAUAGUUAUGAGCGUUGAUUUACUUCUGAACGAAUCUAGCUUCCUAAUAAAUACAUUAAGAUGCUGGACUCAUUGAAUUUUAUUCAUUGUUUUCAGAGAACCUUGACAACUGCAUAGAUUAUUUUUAAAGACAAUAAGCAUCUUUAAUGAUGCAGAUUUAUUAUUUGUGCUAAUGCAUUAGUAACAAUUCUAUUAAGCUGAUGCUUCAAUUAUGAAGUUAUU